UGAAAAAUAUCCAAAAAUAGUUUUGUUUUAAUUAUCACUCUCUGUUUAAUAGUUAUUUUGCUUGCGUAGGAUUAAUUAAAUAAGGUCGUGUUUUUAUUCUCGGUUACGGGGAAGGAAUAAUAUUUGGGUUCAAACGACCUAUUUUUAGGCCCAAUACCUACUAACAAACCCUAAAACCUAGACUUAUAAAUACAUCGACUCUUCAGACAAGAGACACGGACAAGGGGGACCUCUUCAGACUUUGGAGAUAAAAAGAGAAUACAGGAACGAAGAAGGAGCGGAGGAAAAGGCAGCAAAGCUGCGCAUGAAGAAGCAAAGCUUCUUGGUUUAAAGAAGCUGAAAAAAAAGCAGCGAAAAGCUGCGCAUGAAUAAUGAACAGAAAAAACGACCCCUAUAUUCUCGUUUUCUUCACGCCAUCCAUCAUCGUCCACCUCUAUUUUUCGUCGGCAAACAAAACUCCAUUUCAGCCGAAGAAAUACCUUCCCCUACUGUGAGAACGGAAGUCGUUUGAGGGGUCAGUAAUCAUCUAAAACUCGAAGGCGCCGUCGAGUUCGUUGUUGAGAAACUCCCUUCGUUUGAGGUUGUCAGAGCUCAGGUCGUGGUCCCUUUUCAGGCCAAAAUUUGUUGCCGAUUUCUAAGCUGUUAUCCAUCGGCCGAGUUCUAAUUGGAAGUCUGCGUGCUAUUUGAGCUGUAGAAUCGCUGCUGUUGUUUGUUCCUCUCGUUGUUGUCCUGUUGAUUCACCCGUUCCUCUGUUACUAUUCCGUCAUUUAAUCUUCUACUACUGUGCUGCCAUUGUAGGUAUUUCUGAACUCGGUAGCGGGUAUUGGCUGGUCGGAUGCAGAAUCAUCGGAAUUUAGCAAGAUUUAGGUAUUUCUGAACCCAGUAGCGGGUAUUAGCUAGUCGGAUGCAGAAUCAUCGGAGUUUAGCAGGGUAGUUGCUGACGUUCGCAACACCGCUUUUCUCUCUCUUCAUUUCAUUAGUCUGUAUUUGUACACUUCAGACUUUCAGUUAUAUUUAUACCCUAGUAGAUGC